UACAGAGGUCCCGAGCGUUGUUCGGAUUCAUUGGGCGUAAAGGGUGCGUAGGCGGUUUGCUAAGUUUGAUGUGAAAUCCCGGGGCUCAACCCUGGAAUUGCAUUGAAUACUGGUGAACUAGAGUACUGGAGAGGAAACUGGAAUUUACGGUGUAGCAGUGAAAUGCGUAGAGAUCGUAAGGAAGACCAGUGGCGAAGGCGAGUUUCUGGACAGUUACUGACGCUGAGGCACGAAGGCCAGGGGAGCAAACGGG
rnacentral:rRNA from 1 species